UACGGAGGUGGCAAGCGUUGUUCGGAUUGAUUGGGUGUAAAGGGCAUGUAGGCGUCCUGGUAAGUCAAAUGUGAAAUCCCGUAGCUCAACUACGGAACUGCAUUUGAAACUACCGGGAUUGAGUACGGAAGGGGAGAAUGGAAUUCCCGGUGUAAGAGUGAAAUCUGUAGAUAUCGGGAGGAACACCAGUGGCGAAGGCGAUUCUCUGGUCCGAUACUGACGCUGAAAUGCGAAAGCUAGGGGAGCAAACAGGAUUAGAUACCCGCGUA
rnacentral:rRNA from 1 species